UACGGAGGGUGCGAGCGUUGUCCGGAAUCACUGGGCGUAAAGAGCUCGUAGGCGGUCUGUCACGUCGGCUGUGAAAUCCCGAGGCUCAACCUCGGGUCUGCAGUCGAUACGGGCAAACUAGAGUAUUGCAGGGGAGACUGGAAUUCCUGGUGUAGCGGUGAAAUGCGCAGAUAUCAGGAGGAACACCGGUGGCGAAGGCGGGUCUCUGGGCAAUAACUGACGCUGAGGAGCGAAAGCGUGGGGAGCGAACAGG
rnacentral:rRNA from 1 species